rnacentral:snoRNA from 14 species
UCGAGGUGACGAUAGAAAUUCACAGGUCUGUCAAUCCACUGAUAUAUGUGAUGUAAUUGUGUUCUCGACAGGUUCUGAUCGA